rnacentral:lncRNA from 1 species
CUGGGUCUUCAUUAGACUGGAAAAGUAGAAGAUCAGAUCCACUGACAAGCAGCAGCUGGCAGGGAGUUUCCAAGUCAUGCUCCUAAAUAGCACAAGAUCUGGAGAGAUGAUUUUUCACAGUGGAAUCACUGGGGCCCUCAGCAGCAAAUAUCCUUCUUCAGUAUUGGACACGUGGGCAUGUCAUCGAUGAUACCGAGGAGGAAUCUUUUCAGCAGUGAGAUGUGUCUUUUAGAGUCUCUCAUAAACAUGGCAACUCUUUCCCGGAAACUGGAACAGUGAU